rnacentral:misc_RNA from 1 species
CUCUCAUACGACGACUUGAAAAGAGGCACCAACACACGGAUACGGACGUCCUAGCGAACCUGGCAGAAUGGGCGGCAUACCGAAACGACGGGCGGAGGCGCAGCGCCGCUCAAUGCUGAAAAAUCUGCAGCUGAUCUCUUUCACCGACCAGUCUGCGGAAGAGCAAGAGAUGUGCGUCCGACAGCUCUAUGACACAGAUAUAAGCACGUUGGAGGAGUGCCUGCUGCAAGUCACGCAUGUCUGUAUCACGCACCCGAACCCCAACGCGCAGGAGCUGCUGCAUAACUUUAUGCUUUGGCUUGCCGGCCGUUCGCUGAACAUUGCGCUUCGCCUGGCGUGGACUGUGGAUGCCGUAUCAGCUUUCUAUAGCUCUACUGGGUUUGCGGGGCGGCUCAAACACAUUCACGACAAGCUCGAGAGCUACGCCAUCAAUCAAGGGCAACCGGCCGUUCCUUCCGACAGCACCAGCGGUGGCGACGGCAGUCGAACCUCCAGCGACCCCGAGGAGGGCCUUGGCGACGUGGAUGCCAGUGUCGUGCAACGGAAGGAGGUACGCCUCAAGCUGUACAACGACGAGCGGACUUUUGUGACGACCUUGACGAACCUGAGCAACACUCUCCGCUUUUUUCCAGAUCGCAACUACCGCAAGGACGAGCUGCGCAGAGGUCUGCGAGUGCUGAAUCAACGGCUGGAGUCCAUGCGUCUCGUCCACCCGCUCUGCACCAGCAGCGAAUCUGUACAGUGGAUCGUGAACAUCUCCGUCGAAGAUUGCACCGUUUUCUCGUCACGCGAGCGGGCGCCUUGCCUGAUUCGCUACGAGGUCAUCGUAGACGACACAGCGACUAUGCAAGACCCGACCGUGACGCGGCUUCGACAGCCUGACGGGCGCUUCCGCGUCCGUGCAGACUCCGAUGAGAUCUUCGUUCCGGCACCCCCACCGGGGUCUGAGCCACGGGCCGCGCCGCUGGUAGAAGCGAGCGGAAGCGGUGCCGUGGAGGACGCGUCGCCCGAGGCACUGCAAUGCUUGCACGCCGUGUUUGGCGAGAGCAAGAAGGCGCGCCUGGCGCGCGUGCGCAAGUCGUCUCCUUGGGGUGCGCACCCAAACUGGUCCAUGAACGCGAUGAUCGUAAAGGCUGGCGACGAUCUCCGGCAGGAGGAGCUGGCACUGCAGCUCAUCCACACUUUCCAAUGCAUCUGGCAGGAGGCAGGUCUGACGGUCCGUGUGAAGCCGUACGCAGCGCUACCUACGCAUCGCGACUGUGGCCUGCUCGAGGUGAUCGAGGACUCUGCGUCGAUGGAUAGCAUUAAGAAAGCGACCCGGGUCAGCAGCAUCUACAACUACUACCUCAAGGCCUACGAUGGCGAAGACUCCGUUCUCUAUCGCAAGGCGCAACAGAACUUUGUGGAGAGCAUGGCCGGCUACAGCAUCAUCUCAUACAUCCUCCAAAUCAAGGACCGGCACAACGGCAACCUCAUGAUUCGGCGCGACGGCAGCUUGGUUCACAUCGACUUUGGCUUUCUGUUCGUGACGUCACCGGGUGGAUUGAACUUUGAAUCCGCGCCGUUCAAGUUGUCGCAGGAGCUCAUCGACGUCAUGGGUGGCGCCUCGAGCGACGCCUUCAACUACUUUCGCAUUCUUGUCUACGAGGCGCUCGCGGCGGCGCGCGAGCGCUGCGAGGACAUCCUCGCGCUGGUCUCUAUCUUGACGCCAAACAACGCAAUGCCCUGCUUCGGGGCGGACCCGGGCGCCGUCGUUCGCCAGCUGCGCGGACGCUUUCGCGACGACCUUCUCUCUGAGGCAGACUACGCUGUGUACGCGAAGGAGCUCAUUGUGAACAGUGCCGACAACUGGCGCACUCGACGCUACGACCAGUUCCAGAGCCUCCAGAAUGGGAUUCUCUAGCAGGCAAACCCGUACACAGUGCCACAAACGGUGCUGUGCUCAACGCGCGUUCAUGGUCGAGUGCUAUCAGUGGCUGUCGCGUGGGGGAGGAGACGAUUGGCUUUUGUGUUUCUACACGUCCCUGGUCCCCUGCAUCGCCUGUACGUCAGUGCGACUCUUUCCUUCCCUCUGGGUGACGCGUACAUGUGUGUGUGUGUGUGCGUGGCUCUUUUCGCAUCUUUGCCGCGUCUCAAUGCGCAUUUGCGUGCCCGCCGCUGCUGCCGUUCUUGUUGCCCUCAUUGCGCGUCUUUAAGCUUCUGCACCCAAGUGCAACCAUCUCUUCUACUUUGUUUCCUUUGGCUCGUGAUCCGCUGCACUGUCCUCGCGUCCUCGACCUCUCGCGUUCUUCCC